rnacentral:rRNA from 1 species
AUUGAACGCUGGCGGAAUGCUUUACACAUGCAAGUCGAGCGGCAGCGCGGGGCAACCUGGCGGCGAGCGGCGAACGGGUGAGUAAUGCAUCGGAACGUACCCUGUCGUGGGGGAUAACUAUCCGAAAGGAUGGCUAAUACCGCAUACGACCUGAGGGUGAAAGCGGGGGAUCGCAAGACCUCGCGCGAUAGGAGCGGCCGAUGCCGGAUUAGCUAGUUGGUGAGGUAAAGGCUCACCAAGGCGACGAUCCGUAGCUGGUCUGAGAGGACGACCAGCCACACUGGGACUGAGACACGGCCCAGACUCCUACGGGAGGCAGCAGUGGGGAAUUUUGGACAAUGGGGAAACCCUGAUCCAGCCAUUCCGCGUGAGUGAAGAAGGCCUUCGGGUUGUAAA